rnacentral:rRNA from 1 species
AUUGAACGCUGGCGGCAGGCCUAACACAUGCAAUUCGAGCGGAUGAAGGGAGCUUGCUCCUGUAUUCAGCGGCGGACGGGUUAGUAAUGCCUAGGAAUCUCCCUGGUUGUGGGUGAUAACGUCCGGAAACGGGCGCUAAUACCGCAUACGUCCUGAGGGAGAAAGUGGGGGAUCUUCGGACCUCACGCUAUCAGAUGAGCCUAGGUCGGAUUAGCUAGUUGGUGGGGUAAAGGCCUACCAAGGCGACGAUCCGUAACUGCUCUGAGAGGAUGAUCAGUCACACGGGAACUGAGACACGGUCAAGAGUCCUACGGGAGGCAGCAGUGGGGAAUAUUGGACAAUGGGCGAAAGCAUGAUCCAGCCAUGCCGCGUGUGUGAAGAAGGUCUUCGGAUUGUAAAGCACUUUAAGUUGGGAGGAAGGGCAGUAAGUUAAUACCUUGCUGUUUUGACGUUACCAACAGAAUAAGCACCGGCUAACUUCGUG